GAUGAACGCUAGCGACAGGCCUAACACAUGCAAGUCGAGGGGUAGCACNGGAUAGCUUGCUAUUUGGGUGACGACCGGCGCACGGGUGAGUAGCGCGUAUGCAACCNGCCUAUAAGAGGGGGAUAGCCUUUCGAAAGAAAGAUUAAUACCGCAUAAUACUAUUUACCUGCAUGGGUAAAUAGUUAAACUAUCUGGCUUAUAGAUGGGCAUGCGUUCCAUUAGAUAGUUGGUGAGGUAACGGCUCACCAAGUCAGCGAUGGAUAGGGGUUCUGAGAGGAAGGUCCCCCACACUGGUACUGAGACACGGACCAGACUCCUACGGGAGGCAGCAGUGAGGAAUAUUGGUCAAUGGGCGAGAGCCUGAACCAGCCAAGUCGCGUGAAGGAUGAAGGUCUUAUGGAUUGUAAACUUCUUUUAUAAGGGAAUAAAAAAGAUCACGUGUGGUCUAUUGCAUGUACCUUAUGAAUAAGCAUCGGCUAACUCCGUGCCAGCAGCCGCGGUAAUACGGAGGAUGCGAGCGUUAUCCGGAUUUAUUGGGUUUAAAGGGUGCGUAGGCGGUUUAUUAAGUCAGUGGUGAAAGUUUUCGGCUCAACCGGAAAAUUGCCAUUGAAACUGAUAGACUUGAGUGUAAACGAGGUAGGCGGAAUU
rnacentral:rRNA from 1 species